GUGAACAUACCUUUAUGUUGCCUCGGCGGAUCAGCCCGCGCCCCGUAAAACGGGACGGCCCGCCGCAGGAAACCCUAAACUCUGUUUUUAGUGGAACUUCUGAGUAUAAAAAACAAAUAAAUCAAAACUUUCAACAACGGAUCUCUUGGUUCUGGCAUCGAUGAAGAACGCAGCAAAAUGCGAUAAGUAAUGUGAAUUGCAGAAUUCAGUGAAUCAUCGAAUCUUUGAACGCACAUUGCGCCCGCCAGUAUUCUGGCGGGCAUGCCUGUUCGAGCGUCAUUUCAACCCUCAAGCCCAGCUUGGUGUUGGGAUCUGUGUGCAAACACAGUCCCCAAAUUGAUUGGCGGUCACGUCGAGCUUCCAUAGCGUAGUAAUUUACACAUCGUUACUGGUAAUCGUCGCGGCCACGCCGUUAAACCCCAACUUCUGAAUGUUGACCUCGGAUCAGGUAGGAAUACCCGCUGAACUUAAGCAUAUCAAUAAGCGGAGGAAAAGAAACCAACAGGGAUUGCCCUAGUAACGGCGAGUGAAGCGGCAACAGCUCAAAUUUGAAAUCUGGCUCUCGGGCCCGAGUUGUAAUUUGUAGAGGAUGACUUUGAUGCGGUGCCUUCCGAGUUCCCUGGAACGGGACGCCAUAGAGGGUGAGAGCCCCGUCUGGUUGGAUGCCAAAUCUCUGUAAGUCUCCUUCGACGAGUCGAGUAGUUUGGGAAUGCUGCUCUAAAUGGGAGGUAUAUGUCUUCUAAAGCUAAAUACCGGCCAGAGACCGAUAGCGCACAAGUAGAGUGAUCGAAAGAUGAAAAGCACUUUGAAAAGAGAGUUAAAAAGUACGUGAAAUUGUUGAAAGGGAAGCGUUUAUGACCAGACUUGGGCUUGGUUAAUCAUCUGGGGUUCUCCCCAGUGCACUUUUCCAGUUCAGGCCAGCAUCAGUUUUCGCCGGGGGAUAAAGACUUCGGGAAUGUGGCUCCUCUCGGGGAGUGUUAUAGCCCGUUGUGUAAUACCCUGGCGGGGACUGAGGUUCGCGCUUCUGCA
rnacentral:rRNA from 1 species